UGGCGAACGGGUGAGUAACGCGUGAGGAACCUGCCUCAAAGAGGGGGACGACAGUUGGAAACGACUGCUAAUACCGCAUAAGCCCACGACCCGGCAUCGGGUAGAGGGAAAAGGAGCAAUCCGCUUUGAGAUGGCCUCGCGUCCGAUUAGCUAGUUGGUGAGGUAACGGCCUACCAAAGCGACGAUCGGUAGCCGGACUGAGAGGUUGAACGGCCACAUUGGGACUGAGACACGGCCCAG
rnacentral:rRNA from 1 species